rnacentral:rRNA from 1 species
UUGAACGCUGGCGGCAGGCCUCACACAUGCAAGUCGAACGGUAACAGGAAGCAGCUUGCUGCUUUGCUGACGAGUGGCGGACGGGUGAGUAAUGUCUGGGAAACUGCCCGAUGGAGGGGGAUAACUACUGGAAACGGUAGCUAAUACCGCAUAACGUCGCAAGACCAAAGAGGGGGACCUUAGGGCCUCUUGCCAUCGGAUGUGCCCAGAUGGGAUUAGCUAGUAGGUGGGGUAACGGCUCACCUAGGCGACGAUCCCUAGCUGGUCUGAGAGGAUGACCAGCCACACUGGAACUGAGACACGGUCCAGACUCCUACGGGAGGCAGCAGUGGGGAAUAUUGCACAAUGGGCGCAAGCCUGAUGCAGCCAUGCCGCGUGUAUGAAGAAGGCCUUCGGGUUGUAAAGUACUUUCAGCGGGGAGGAAGGGAGUAAAGUUAAUACCUUUGCUCAUUGACGUUACCCGCAGAAGAAGCACCGGCUAACUCCGUG